AUACGUAGGACACGAGCGUUAUCCGGAUUUACUGGGCGUAAAGCGUCUGUAGGCGGAGAGGUAAGUUGGGCGUGAAAGCUCCGGGCUUAACCCGGAGAGGCCGUUCAAGACUGCUUAACUAGAGGGCGUGAGAGGGGAGCGGAAUUCCCGGAGUAGCGGUAAAAUGCGCAGAUAUCGGGAGGAACACCAGUGGCGGAGGCGGCUCCCUGGUACGUACCUGACGCUGCGAGACGAAAGCUAGGGGAGCGAACAGGAUUAGAAACCCUAGUAGUCC
rnacentral:rRNA from 1 species